GGGGAUGUAGCUCAGUGGUAGAAUACCUGCCUAGCACACAAGACCCUGGGUUCCACCCCCAGCAUUACCA
rnacentral:tRNA from 1 species